GCGCAUGCGCCCUGGAAGGGUCUCGCGGGCGCUGACCGGUCUUCCCUGCGUCCCGUCUGUGAACGUCGCCGCCGCCAGCCCUCCGCGGCCCCCUGCCCGGAAGUCUCGGAGAGCAGAGCUGCGGUCGAAACCUAACUGUAAGAAGCCGAGAGUGUCGGAGAAGCCCGGCCGUGGCCCGGGACGGACUCGCUUCUUCAUCUUCAAGACUCGCAAGCGCUGCGGAGAGAGAAAGACUGGUAGGCAGUGACCAGCGGGGCGGCUCUUAGGCCGAGCUCCCGGUUUCUCGGGACUGGGGACUCGGACACUUCGCUCCCUUCUGUCUGGACGCUGCCUCCGGGAUGCUGGCACCGGGCCCUCCACCGUGUCCCGGGGCUGUGGACAGGACGCCUAGGCGGCUGGAGGCUGCGGAGUUUUACAGGACAGGAGCCGGGACGUAGUGUGUUAGGAGUGUGGCCUUUGACGUCAGCGCUGGGGCGAAGUCACAUCCCAGCCCUGUGACCUCUUGAAGCGUGAGUUGCCCCGUUGGUAAAGCUGGGUGGGUGGUUCCAGAUUCAGCGUCUCUUCCAGCUUGACGCAGAACUUGGGAGAUGAAUGACCCGGCGUGUAAGAUGCACCCCUGGGAUCGACAGCAGCAGCUCCCGCGGCUUCAGUUGCACACCAUCUACAGAUAAUACUUCUCCAGAUCGCGUGGUAGGAAGACCUGGGCCGCAGAAGUUAAGCGGUAUUCGGUUUAUCAUCAGCCCUAGGUUGUUUUUUUUUUUCCCCCGUUUUAGAGUAAGUUCCUACCUGCACUAAAAGUAGGACGCGCCUACCGCCAUCCUCAUUUGUAGAACUGCAGGGGAAAAAAUUGUUACUUAUAAGUUCUGUACAGCCCUGUCCCUUUCUAGUCAAGUACCUGUUGGAUAUUUCUACUUGUUUUCUCAAACUUCUUUUUAUCUUGACUUUAUACAGAAUACUGAUUGUGGAGUUUUUUUAAAUGUACAGAAGCUUACCAAAAAGCACAAGUUACUGUUUUUCCCUCAGACCCACUCCUCACAGGUAACCCCUGUUAAUAAGUUUCUUGGAUACCUUAAAAUGCUUAACAAAUAUUUUCUGAAUGCAUAAAUGUCCUUCAAUGAAUUUUCUUUGCCUGUGCAAUCACAUGUGUAUGUAAGUUGCCUUUUCUCUUUAACAACAUACUUAAACCUUCUGUCAUUUCACAGCUGCGGGGUACUGGCACUCCAUCAUAUGGUGGUAUUUAACCACUCUGCUGUUGAUAGGCAUUCAUGUUUAUAAUUUCUUGUUAUUAUAAACAGUGUUGCAGGGAAGAUCCUUGAACAGCACAUGGAGUGUCUGACUCAAACUUUGAGUUUUUUCUCCAGGAGCUGAGAAUCAGCCUGGUGAUGACAAAAGAACAUGGACUUGGGAUCCAAAGACUCAAGCACACAUGCCCAAGGCAGCCUCCUGAUAUCAGGGCUGUAGGAUACUUUGAAGAAGUAGAACAGAAUUGGCCAUUAUGAAGACCAGACUCCUGACUUGCCUGCCUUCUGGAAAGCAAUAGGCAUUAAUUCCUUCAUUUAUUCAAGUAGCCAUUUAAUGAGAACUCACUAUUUAUUAUGUGCCACAGACUAUAGGAUAGAGCUUUUCCCAUCCAGGAGCUUUCAAUCUCAUUAGAGAUAAGACACACUCAUGAGAAAUAAAAGAUACAAGACAAUACAAGAGAGAAAAUAGCUGUCAAGCAGCCUAGACUUCAGAGGAGAGCUAUCACUUUCAGCUAGAAUGAUGGGGAAAGGAUUUCAUCAUAAAGACUUCAUGAUGGAAUUGGAAUUUAGAGAGCUGUGAAUGGUGGGUGUAUUUAGAUAGCUGCUGUCACAGCCGUAAGGAUCAUCUAUUUUAGCUUUGAGGGAGAAUCCCCUGCAGGCCAGGAUGUGGGCCUGGCUCCCAAAAAUGAAACUGUGAGCACAUUUUCCUCUAGAAACAUUGUUUUAAAUUAUCUAAACUACAAUUCAAUGACUGGAGCUAUGUUAUGGUAGCUAGAUUAUAAAGUCUAUAUUUAGAAAUAGACAUAAACUUUUGUGAUCUGAGGUAAGUAGCAGUUAUGUGCCACUGAUGGGAAACUUUGUUCCACUGUUCUGAACAGCCAGCUUACAGAUGAGCUUUGCAGUACCACCUGUUCAUACAUUAGAAACUACAAUAGGGAAGCAUUGAAAGUUCUUGAGCAGAGGAGCAAUAUCAAAAUCUUUGGGGAAAGUUAUCUGGUGCAAGCAUGCAGGACGGAUUUCAGCUGCAGAGCUUUAAAGGUUACUGCCGAAGCCCAGGUGUGAGGUAACAGCAGGAAGGGACAGAUGCAAAA